CCUACGGGGGGCAGCAGUGGGGAAUAUUGCACAAUGGGGGAAACCCUGAUGCAGCGACGCCGCGUGAGCGAUGAAGUAUUUCGGUAUGUAAAGCUCUAUCAGCAGGGAAGAAAAUGACGGUACCUGACUAAGAAGCACCGGCUAAAUACGUGCCAGCAGCCGCGGUAAUACGUAUGGUGCAAGCGUUAUCCGGAUUUACUGGGUGUAAAGGGAGCGUAGACGGAGAGGCAAGUCUGAUGUGAAAACCCGGGGCUCAACCCCGGGACUGCAUUUGGAACUGUCAGGCUAGAGUGUCGGAGAGGAAAGCGGAAUUCCUAGUGUAGCGGUGAAAUGCGUAGAUAUUAGGAGGAACACCAGUGGCGAAGGCGGCUUUCUGGACUGUAACUGACGCUGAGGCUCGAAAGCUAGGGUAGCGAACGGGAUU
rnacentral:rRNA from 1 species